rnacentral:rRNA from 1 species
GAUGAACGCUGGCGGCGUGCCUAAUACAUGCCAGUCGAGCGAACAGACGAGGAGCUUGCUCCUCUGACGUUAGCGGCGGACGGGUGAGUAACACGUGGAUAACCUACCUAUAAGACUGGGAUAACUUCGGGAAACCGGAGCUAAUACCGGAUAAUAUAUUGAACCGCAUGGUUCAAUUGUGAAAGACGGUUUUGCUGUCACUUAUAGAUGGAUCCGCGCCGCAUUAGCUAGUUGGUAAGGUAACGGCUUACCAAGGCAACGAUGCGUAGCCGACCUGAGAGGGUGAUCGGCCACACUGGAACUGAGACACGGUCCAGACUCCUACGGGAGGCAGCAGUAGGGAAUCUUCCGCAAUGGGCGAAAGCCUGACGGAGCAACGCCGCGUGAGUGAUGAAGGUCUUCGGAUCGUAAAACUCUGUUAUUAGGGAAGAACAAAUGUGUAAGUAACUAUGCACGUCUUGACGGUACCUAAUCAGAAAGCCACGGCUAACUACGUG